rnacentral:rRNA from 1 species
GAUGAACGCUGGCGGCAUGCCUAACACAUGCAAGUCGAUCGGUAAGGCUCUUCGGAGUACACGAGAGGCGGACGGCUGAGUAACGCGUAGGAACACACCCUGCAGUGAGGGAUAAGACACCGAAAGGUGUUCUAAUACCGCAUACGGUCUUCGGAUUAAAGCAUUUAUGCGCUGAAGGAGUGGCCUGCGUCAUAUUAGAUAGUUGGUGAGGUAAUGGCUCACCAAGUCGAUGAUGUGUAGCUGGUCUGAGAGGAUGAUCAGCCAGACUGGAACUGAGACACGGUCCAGACUCCUACGGGAGGCAGCAGUGAGGAAUAUUUCACAAUGAACGAAAGCUUGAUGGAGCAAUGCCGCGUGCAGGAUGAAGGCCCUCGGGUUGUAAACUGCUUUUAUAAGAGAAGAUUAUGACGGUAACUUAUGAAUAAGGGACGGCUAACUACGUG